UACGAAGGGGGCUAGCGUUGUUCGGAAUUACUGGGCGUAAAGAGCGUGUAGGUGGAUUAGCAAGUCAGAGGUGAAAGCCCAGGGCCUAACCUUGGAACUGCCUUUGAAACUGCUAGUCUGGAGACUCGGAGGGGGAAGUGGAAUUCCUAAUGUAGGGGUGAAAUCCGUAGAUAUUAGGAGGAACACCUGUGGCGAAGGCGGCUUCCUGGACGAGUACUGACGAUGAGACGCGAAAGCGUGGGGAUCAAACAGG
rnacentral:rRNA from 1 species